AUUGAACGCUGGCGGCAUGCCUUACACAUGCAAGUCGAACGGCAGCACGGGAGCAAUCCUGGUGGCGAGUGGCGAACGGGUGAGUAAUAUAUCGGAACGUGCCCAGUCGUGGGGGAUAACGUAGCGAAAGCUACGCUAAUACCGCAUACGAUCUAUGGAUGAAAGCGGGGGAUCGCAAGACCUCGCGCGAUUGGAGCGGCCGAUAUCAGAUUAGGUAGUUGGUGGGGUAAAAGCCUACCAAGCCUUCGAUCUGUAGCUGGUCUGAGAGGACGACCAGCCACACUGGAACUGAGACACGGUCCAGACUCCUACGGGAGGCAGCAGUGGGGAAUUUUGGACAAUGGGCGCAAGCCUGAUCCAGCAAUGCCGCGUGCAGGAUGAAGGCC
rnacentral:rRNA from 1 species